GCCGGCCGCACUCCCUUGGCCAUGCCCUCAGCUCUUCGCGUCUGCUGUCAAUCCUCUCUCCCUUGGCCUACCCAGCACUAGAGAUGGAGGACAGUGAGGGGCGGCGAUGGGACGGAGGUGGAGGAGCAGCCACGGCCAGGUGGAGGAGGUGGUGGGGGCAGGCCGACCUGUGCUGGCCGCACUCCCUCGACAAUGCCCUCGCUCGCCGUCAUGCUGGUCUCCCCUUCCCCAACCGGAGUGGAUUGGCAGACAUGGACAUGGCCAGAGCAGGCACGCUUUGACAUGGAUUUGAUCAAACAAAAGAAUCAUUGGAAGCUGAUUUGGAGGAAUGUCACUGUAUGCAAUCCUGUUGCUUCUCUAUGUUCUUUGGCUGCUUCGACGUGGCAGAUGCAAAAUGAGAGGAUGUUUUGAGCUGAGAACUGACAUCAUCAUUAGUGCGUUGAUGGAUCUUGAGACAUGAGCCAAUGCUGCUGGUACUGACAAGGGCAUGCAGGUACGACGGCGGCUGGAUGGGAUUUGAGAAGAGAGGCAAGGCUGGAUGGUGACUUCUGACGCAGCUGCACAAGCAUCGUCAGGUGUCCACCAAGGGUGUGUUAUUUGGUAUCCCGCUUCUUUCCUUCCAGGCAUGUCGCCCCCCUAUCGACAGGCUCAACCUUCUUGUGAGAUCAUCACCCAUCCCUCAGUUUCAGUUAGCUCCUUCCUGCUAAUAUUUCUUACUUCGUCCGGUUCAAUAUUUCUCAAUUGGUCUUGCUAUGUUGCUGCGAGGUGGCAUCAUUUUUGGUAAAGAUCAUUGCUCUCAAGGUAGCGAGGAGGAUCUCCAAAGCAAGAUGUUCCUUUGCAUGGAAUUAUAUUCAACCAUUGCAAGUUCUUGGAUAUAUUCCAUUUAGAUGGAUUCAACUAUGUGCAGCACUCAAAGUUGUUGUGCAAGGUGAAGAUCGAUCUGCAGAUCGCGGAAUUCAUGCUGAUGGUGGUCCUCUGAUCCCUGCUUACCAAGGAGGUUAAGCUGACAUGAUUCAGCCCAAAAUGGGUUGGCAUUUUCUUCCGCCUAGCUUACUUAAA